rnacentral:rRNA from 1 species
AGGACGAACGCUGGCGGCGUGCUUAACACAUGCAAGUGGAGCGACGAACCAGGGCUUGCCCUGGGGCAGAGCCGCGAACGGGUGAGUAACACGUGGGUUACCUGCCUUGAUGACCGGGACAACCCGAGGAAACUCGGGCUAAUACCGGAUGUGCCCGUAAGGGGAAAGGAAGCUUCGGCCUCCGCAUCAAGAUGGGCCGCGGCCUAUCAGCUUGUUGGUGGGGUAAUGGCCUACCAAGGCGACGACGGGUA